rnacentral:lncRNA from 1 species
UAUACAAGGCAGUAUCAAACUCUGUUUGAAAAAACAACAUUAGAGUCAAUUGGACAUGUACGAAUACUCCAACUAUUGUGAUCCCUCCUUACAAUCAAUGAUAAAGUAUUUAACACGGGAGAGGAAAAAUAGUCAUGAAAACCUCAAAUUAAUUCACCACCAUUGAAAAUAAACUUCACUACAUUUCAUCUUUUAAAAUUUCUAAAAGAGCAGUACUAUAUUUUAUGAAAACUUAUGGUACGAAAGUGCACGAACGCGUGAAGCCAUGAACUACUUUUUUACCACAGGCACUUAGUUUUAAUUUUAAUUUUGAAAAAUGAUAGACCCCUCCCUCGUAUAUCUCAAACAUUGCCGCCUCUCACGCUGCAGCAGCGUCAUUGUCACUUUUUUAUCUUUUAUCAUCUCCGUAUGAAACAAGCCACAAAAGCCUCCACCAAUUACCAACACUCAGCUUUCUUUUUCCUCCACUGUAGGCACCGCCAAAACUCUGCAACAACAAAGCAAUCACCAUCUCCAAAACAACAAACCCUCCACCCUGCAACAACAAUGCAAUCACCAUCUCCAUGAACAACAGUAACAAAUCCUCCACUGCAAACAACAAUAACCCUUCUACUGCAAAAAACAACACUGCAACCCACCACAAACAAAUGACAGUGGAAAAAAAGUAGAAAAUACAAAAUAAGAAAAAUCAAAAGAAAAUAAGAUCGGAACAACAAUGCAACUGUCACCCAAGAACUCUUUCUGCUUUUGGUAACUCACCACCGUCAGUGUCCCAUCGCCGCCACACACAGCGGCGCCCCUCUUCUCAACAUUCACGUUAUCUUUUUUCCUCCUUUUGGUCCGAUCUAAUCCCUUGCUCGCGCACGAAUUUGGCGGCCGCAGAUGGCAACAUCCUUGAGCUGCCGCUGCACGGUUUUAGGGGGAAAAAAGGAGACGGUAGAAGCGGAUGAGAUCUCUUUAUGGUAACAGGAGUUUCAUCGAGAACACCUGCGGAUUUGAGAAGAAAAGGGGAGAACUCCUGCGGAUUAGAGCAGAAAAAGGGAGGACACCUGCGGGUGAGAGUUUCAUCGAGAGCAGAAAAAAAGUGAGAGGGAAAGAGAAAACACCUGCGGUAGAGAUGGAGAGGGUGGACUGAGAAGGAGAGGGAAAGAGGGAGAGAAAGAGAAAAGAUAGAAAGGGUAAAUUUGGAAAAUAAGUGAAAAAGGAAAUUUAAAAAAAAAAAAAGGAAGAAGAGUUUGAACCACUGAUUUCGG